GAUGAACGCUGGCGGCGUGCCUAAUACAUGCAAGUCGAGCGGACGGACGCGAAGCUUGCGUCUCUGAUGUUAGCGGCGGGCGGGUGAGUAACACGUGGAUAACCUACCUGUAAGACUGGGAUAACUUCGGGAAACCGUAGCUAAUCCCGGAGAAUAUUCUGCACCGCAUGGUGCAAAAGUGAAAGACGGUCUUGGUGGCACUUCUAGAGGGAUCCCGGCUGCAUUAGGUGGUUGGGCAGGUAACGGGUUACCAAGGCGACUAGGCCUAGCCGACGUGAGAGGGUGGUCGCCCACACUGGAACUGAGACACGCUCCAGACUCCUACGGGAGGCCGCAGUCGGGAAUCUUCCGCAAUGGUCGAAAGCCUUACGCAGCAACGCCGCGUGAGUGAUGACGGUCUUCGGAUCGUAAUGCUCUGUUAUUAGUUAAGAACAUAUGUGUACGUAACCGUGGCCUGCUUGACGGUACUUAGUCAGAAAGCCACGGCUAACUACGUC
rnacentral:rRNA from 1 species